GCAGAUGCAAAAUGAACAUAGCCCACUGCCCCUUUCCUGCAGUAUCGGAUGACAGCAGAGACAUCAAGAAGGGCACAAUGCUUAGUGACCUCACGCAGACCCAAGUACUUGGGGGACAAGACCAGAGGGAAGCAGGUCCACUCAGCUUCCACAGGACCCCCGAUCCUGCCUUGUGCAUCAUCCCCACAAACAGUCUGGCAGGCAUGACUGAAAUUCUGGAUCUGGGCACUGCCUACUCACUAAAGUCUCCGAGUUGAACAAGACAAAGUUCCUACCCUCACACAGCGUGUGACUGAGUGGACCAGCACCUACUAAACCUCUGAACUGUAAUCAUGUCUAGACACAUCGGUGUGUAUAUUGGCCACAUGAUACAGGCCUGAGAGGCUGGCACUUCCGCUACCUGUUGAGCCUCCGCGAGCUGCUCCAACAUCGCCUGUGCCACCUGCAAGCCUCCCGGGCAGACGGAGCCCCUGCCCGGCUCUCACGGG